rnacentral:rRNA from 1 species
AUUGAACGCUGGCGGUAUGCUUUACACAUGCAAGUCGAACGGUAGAGGGGCAACCCUUGAGAGUGGCGAACGGGUGAGUAAUACAUCGGAACGUGCCCAGUCGUGGGGGAUAACGUAGCGAAAGCUACGCUAAUACCGCAUACGACCUGAGGGUGAAAGCGGGGGACCUGCAAGGGCCUCGCGCGAUUGGAGCGGCCGAUGGCAGAUUAGGUAGUUGGUGAGGUAAAGGCUCACCAAGCCGACGAUCUGUAGCUGGUCUGAGAGGACGACCAGCCACACUGGGACUGAGACACGGCCCAGACUCCUACGGGAGGCAGCAGUGGGGAAUUUUGGACAAUGGGCGCAAGCCUGAUCCAGCCAUACCGCGUGCAGGAAGAAGGCCUUCGGGUUGUAAACUGCUUUUGUCAGGGAAGAAAUCUUCUGGGCUAAUACCCUGGGAGGAUGACGGUACCUGAAGAAUAAGCACCGGCUAACUACGUGCCAGCCGCCGCAGUAAGAC